AAAAAAAAAAUUGUAAUUCUAAAUUGUAUUUUUUAAAUAAUUCUUUCUGAUGUUGUUUUUAUGUCACCCAUGAUGAAAACUGGACUUUGAUAUCUAUACAUAUGAACUAUUCCACUGAAAAAUUUUUAAUAGUCUUUUUUCUUUUUUGGUGCCUAUAAUUGGUCAUUUCUGCUGGCCUUUCUCCAAUGAACUCUGAAAUCUUUCUAUAUGUGCUAUCAAUAAGAGAAGUACCCUGGAACAUUAGAAAAAUCCAGCAAGAGACUUGCUUUCAUCAAGCCCUUUACCAGACUUUGAGCAAAGGUACUGAAGGCAUUGAAAAAAGUCAUUGACUUUCAAGAUCAUCUCUUCUUUUUCUCAAGAAGAAAGCAAUGGAAAAAUAAAUUAUCUUCAUUCAAUGAACCCCCAAUUUGGGGCUUGGGGGAGCUUAGAGACAUUGUGAAAUCAAAUCUUGUGUUAUUUUUCACCUGGCUCGCUCUUUUUGAGAAGGUUAAUGGGCUAUUUGGCUGGUGAGACACGAUCCCCUCCUAAGAAAAUGUAGGUGCUCAGACAGGUAACCUCUGCUGCUACUGUUUUUAUUUGUUUGUUUGUUUAAUUUUAUUUAAAUUUUGUUUUAUUGUACUAGGAUUUUUUAAAAUGUAAUAUAUUGCAGGAUUUAUAACCAGGUUCACUGCUUUCUUUUUUCUUUCUUAAAAAAAGUUUCAUUUAACAUACAAUUUAGGCACCUUUGAAGCUUGGAUUUUGGAAUGUUUCAGUAGUGGACAGAAAUCUGCUGUUGGAAUCUUCUAGUCUUUCAGGUUUAAUUUGAAAUGUUUUUAGUUUUGUUUUGGAUUUUUGUGUGCUAUUUUAUUUCCUUUAUACCAGUACCAUUUUGCCAUGCUGUUUUGGGGUGGCUGCCUAACUCUAGUGAAAAAUUUUUCUAUAUUAAUGAAAAUUUGGCUUUUAAAAUUCCUUAAUGUUUUACAUUUAAAAAAUAUUUUUAAAGAAAUAUUCUAACUGUUUGCACUGUUACUGUUCUUUGCCAGCCUUUUCAGGAGCCAAAAAAAACCAAAUACAAACAAACAAAAAUAUACCCAGAGAAAAAACUUUCCUUCUUCCCCCUUCCUGAUGAUGAGUGAGAAGUAUUGAGAACUUUCGGGGUCAGUGCCCUUCUAAACUCCCCUUCCCCCAAUAAUGCAGCUGUGUAAUGAAUGCUAAAUGCAGCGGUUUGGAUUCAGUCACAGCCCCAGCCGGCUGGCAGGUAAUUUGACUCUCCUUUCUUUCCACCACAAGGCUAACUUUACUUUCUUUUAUAAAAAAUUUCCUUUCUUUGUGCACUUUAAAGGCAACCACGAGUUUGUCAUAACUCACUUGUUAAAAAACGCAUUAACAUGUCAAAUAAUUUGAUUGAAGAAGAGCUUUUGGGGAUAAAGUUUGAGUUGAUUGGGAUGAACUCAGGACUUCUGUGGGAAUUUUGUUUAGGCAUUUCGAUAACUCCACUCUUUGCAUAUAUGUCUAUAAUGAAAUAAUUCAGAGUGUGACUUUUUUUGGCUUUGUUUUUGUUUUGGGUUUGUUUGUUUCUUCCAUUGUGCUACUCUGGCUUAAGCUUUUUCAGGGGUUGGUGUUCCGAAUACAAAGUGAGCUCACAGUAUAAAGACAUCAAUUAGGAGUUGACAGGUAUGGAAAACUAGUUUUGAAAAGGUAAAAGUAAGCUCUAGGUUCUAUGUAUGGAAAAACCCCACCAUAGCACUCAGUUGGCCUUAGUGCUUCUCCUUUUGUAACAUGGUUAUGAAAGCGAAAGGUAGCAGUGACAUGUAGAUUAAAUUAGGAGCAGUAUGACAGCAGAACCAAUCAUUUCAGCGUUUCUGAGACACUGUGUCAAAAAAAACAUGAACACUUUGAGGUUAUCAUACAAUUGUGGCUUAAACACUCCGAAAUUACAGUUUGAAGCAGAUAGGGAAGUAUUUCUGAAGCACAAUGUGGUUGAACAGACUAACCAAGAGCAUGCCAAUAGUUAGGGGCAGGAACAGGAAUACAGCUUGCUCAUUUUGAUAGCCUUCUGUCCCAGUCCACUUGCCCUUUUCUGCUUUCUGCUGCCCUCAACCAUCACAGGUAAAGCUCCUAUAUCAUUUUGGGCAAUAAUCCUCUUUCUAGUAGAUAAGAUUUCAUUGAAAGUAGCCAGGUCCCUUUCCAGCAUGUGCUUCUGCAUAAUUUUAUCCUGUGACUUUAAAUGUCCUAUCCAAAGUGGCUCGACAUCACUAGAUGACUAGUGACUAGGAAAUCCUGGCCAUAGGUGCUCUUUUUGCAGUGGAGGAGGGCAUGUAAUAGGUCAUUAGCCCGUUCUGUGCGUCAGUUGACUCAUAAAAGAUAGGGACAGUCUCCUGAACACCUUUAGUCACAAGUAAUUCUCUGUUGAACUGAAAUAUACCACUAAAGGGAUCCCAGCUAAACUCCUGCAAGAAUUGCUGGUGUAUACUCAAGCUUGCCUAGGAGACCUUCGUGCCCUCCUAAUAGAAUGGCCACCAUUAGUGUGUGUAGCACAUGUGACCGCCCAGGGCGCGGGGGUUCUAACAACCUCCAUUCUGCCCACACUGAAAUACUGCUGGUUUGCAAAGAAUCAUCUCACUUUUACAUUUUACCGUAUUCACAUUUACUAGGUGAACCUUAUUUAUGUAGUAUGUGUACCUGGCUGCUACUGUGGGGUUUGGGAACGUGAGGGGUGGGGUGAACUGUUGUUGUUUUGGGUUUCAGUCAGACAGACUUCCCUGUGCCCCAGUUCCCAGAAGCACAGCAGGCCUGUAGGAGCACCUGUGGGAACGGCGCAGUCCUGACAUCACCACCUUCUCCUGCUCAGGCGCAUCCCAUACACAGAGGUGGCGUAUGUGUUCGUGCUUUAAUGUAUUCAGAGCCAUUGGGCAAUAAGCAGUCCAGAACAUUGAAAACUCAAACAGCAGAGAAAUAAACUGGUAGGUGGCAGCAGAGGAAGGAGGAAUUCUUCAGAUUGAUGGCUACUGACAAUACCAAGUGAAGCAAGGGGGACAAAGAAGUGGAAAAAUAAGACUGAAAAUUACUGGAUUUUGACUUUAAGUGGUUUUCUUGAAGUAACCAGUGAUCCUUGCUUACCUCAGUGACAGAAUGGAUGAAGAUGGGUCUGACUCUGUUUUCUCAAGUGGAAAAUAGAAAUAUACAACAAGAAAGCAGUCGCUUUAACCUCUUUCUAAAAUAAAAACGCCAUGAACUGGCAGUGAAAUAGCAUGGAGCAUGACUUGUCCUUUUGGCAGCUGUUUGUACCCACUCUGUCCUGUAUGAAUUUUCUGAGGUCUGGAUAUCUAGACUUGGUGUCUAGCUCCAUGUGUCUUUUUUCUUUUUUCCUUUUCCACUCCUCACCUUUUGCAGGUUGGAACUCUUGGUUCCUUUGGUUCUUGCUCUCUGCCUGAUCUCUCUGUAAUAUCUUCAGGAAGGAUUGAUCCUUUGGCACAUGAGCAGGCACUAAAAUAUGUACUAGAUGGAGUUCUCUCUGUCCUUUCACACUUUGUGCUGAAUAACUAUUGUUGUAUUUUUUAAUCUCAAGAAUACUUCUGACAAGGCAUGUACUUUUUCUACUUUCUGUACUACAUUCUAUAGUCGGAUAUUCAUACUGUAGUCCUGUCACUUAAUGGUUACAUGGUCCUUGGAAAAGUCACUCUUCAAAACAGAUUAUUUGUUAAAAAAUGAAAAUGAAAUAACUGUACCUAGCUUUAUUAGCCUCAUGUACUAUAAUAUAUGUAUAGUGCUUAGCACAUAGUUGAGUAUUUAAUAAAUAUUGUCC
ensembl:lncRNA